rnacentral:rRNA from 1 species
AUUGAACGCUGGCGGAAUGCUUUACACAUGCAAGUCGAGCGGCAGCGCGGGGGCAACCCUGGCGGCGAGCGGCGAACGGGUGAGUAAUGUAUCGGAACGUACCCAGUCGUGGGGGAUAACUAUCCGAAAGGAUAGCUAAUACCGCAUACGACCUGAGGGUGAAAGCGGGGGACCGUAAGGCCUCGCGCGAUUGGAGCGGCCGAUAUCGGAUUAGCUAGUUGGUGAGGUAAAGGCUCACCAAGGCGACGAUCCGUAGCUGGUCUGAGAGGACGACCAGCCACACUGGAACUGAGACACGGUCCAGACUCCUACGGGAGGCAGCAGUGGGGAAUUUUGGACAAUGGGGGCAACCCUGAUCCAGCCAUUCCGCGUGAGUGAAGAAGGCCUUCGGUUGUUAAAGGCUCUUUCUAGCAGGAACGAAACGGUGGU